UGUAUCUGGAAUCAUGUCUCAAAGCUUGGGAGAUUUGGAAGUAGAUAUGAGAAGACUAUGAGAAGUUCACACCUCCUGAGAUCCACCACCACCAUUAAUUGGAUUCUGUUGGUUGAGGCAUGACCAGCCUUGCUGAUCUCAAGCUGCUCCAGACAGAGGC